rnacentral:rRNA from 1 species
UCGGGGUCCGAGUUGUAAUUUGCAGAGGAUGCUUCGGGAGCGGUCCCCAUCUAAGUGCCCUGGAACGGGCCGUCAUAGAGGGUGAGAAUCCCGUCUGGGAUGGGCGGCCGCGCCCGUGUGAAGCUCCUUCGACGAGUCGAGUUGUUUGGGAAUGCAGCUCUAAGCGGGUGGUAAAUUUCAUCUAAAGCUAAAUACUGGCCGGAGACCGAUAGCGCACAAGUAGAGUGAUCGAAAGAUGAAAAGCACUUUGAAAAGAGAGUUAAACAGCACGUGAAAUUGUUGAAAGGGAAGCGUUGUCCACCAGACUCGCCCGGGGGGGUUCAGCCGGCACGUGUGCCGGUGUACUCCUCUCCGGGCGGGCCAGCAUCGGUUUGGGCGGCUGGUGAAAGGCCCCGGGAAUGUACCACCCUCCGGGGUGUCUUAUAGCCCGGGGUGCCAUACAGCCAGCCUGGACCGAGGCCCGCGCUUCGGCGAGGAUGCUGGCGUAAUGGUGGUCAACGGCCCGUCU